rnacentral:rRNA from 1 species
UACGUAGGGUGCAAGCGUUAACCGGAAUUACUGGGCGUAAAGCGCGCGCAGGCGGUUUGGUAAGACAGGCGUGAAAUCCCCGGGCUCAACCUGGGAAUUGCGCUUGUGACUGCAAAGCUUGAGUGCGGCAGAGGGGGAUGGAAUUCCGCGUGUAGCAGUGAAAUGCGUAGAUAUGCGGAGGAACACCGAUGGCGAAGGCAAUCCCCUGGGCCUGCACUGACGCUGAUGCACGAAAGCGUGGGGAGCAAACAGG